UUUAAGUUGUUGCAGUUAAAAAGCUCGUAGUCGGAUUUUGGCUGAGAACGGUCGGUCCGCCGUUAGGUGUGCACUGACUGGUCUCAGCUUCCUGGUGAGGAGGUGUGCUUCAUCGCCACUUAGUCACCGUGGUUACUUUGAAAAAAUUAGAGUGUUCAAAGCGGGCUUACGCUUGAAUAUAUUAGCAUGGAAUAACACCAUAGGACUCCUGUCCUAUUUCGUUGGUCUCGGGACGGGAGUAAUGAUUAAGAGGAACAGUUGGGGGCAUUCGUAUUUCAUUGUCAGAGGUGAAAUUCUUGGAUUUAUGAAAGACGAACUUCUGCGAAAGCAUUUGCCAAGGAUGUUUUCAUUGAUCAAGAACGAAAGUUGGGGGCUCGAAGAUGAUUAGAUACCAUCCUAGUCUCAACCAUAUACGAUGCCGACUAGGGAUUGGCGGAUGUUAAUUGAUGACUUCGCCAGCACCUUAUGAGAAAUCAAAGUUUUUGGGUUCCGGGGGGAGUAUGGUCGCAAGGCUGAAACUUAAAGGAAUUGACGGAAGGGCA
rnacentral:rRNA from 1 species